rnacentral:tRNA from 1 species
GCUGGCGUAGCUUAAGUAAAGCAUAACACUGAAGAUGUUAAGAUGGGCCGUAGAAAGUCCCGCGAGCA